UACCUGGUUGAUCCUGCCAGUAGUCAUAUGCUUGUCUCAAAGAUUAAGCCAUGCAAGUCUAAGUACGAGCUCUCGUACAGUGAAACUGCGAAUGGCUCAUUAAAUCAGUUAUGGUUCAUUUGAUCGUACAGUUUACUUGGAUAACUGUGGUAAUUCUAGAGCUAAUACAUGCGAGAAGCGCCGACCUCGCGGGAGGCGUGCAUUUAUCAGACCAAAAACCGGCCGCGUCUUCGGGCGCGUUCGCCUUGGUGAACUUUGCGGAUCGCACGGUCUAGCACCGGCGACGGAUCAUUCAAGUGUCUGCCCUAUCAACUUUCGUCGGUACGGUAUUUGCCUACCGAGGUUCUUACGGGUGACGGGGAAUCAGGGUUCGAUUCCGGAGAGGGAGCCUGAGAAACGGCUACCACAUCCAAGGAAGGCAGCAGGCGCGCAAAUUACCCAUUCCCGACGCGGGGAGGUAGUGACGAAAAAUAACAAUGCAGGACUCGUUCGAG
rnacentral:ncRNA from 1 species